rnacentral:lncRNA from 10 species
GCCUGUAGUCCCAGCUACUUGGGAGGCUGAGGCAGGAGAAUGGUGCGAACCCGGGAGGCAGAUUUUGCAGAGAGCCGAGAUCGUGCCACUGCACUCCAGCCUGGGCGACAGAGCAAGACUCCGUCUCAAAACAAAAAACAAACAAACAAAUAUGGAGCAUUCUGAUAUGAAUAAGACACUUGCUCACUUCUCAAUUCCUUGGUGUCCAGCUCUACAAGUGUAUAUAGACUUCCAAAGAAUAUUUAAAUCCUUUAACAAAAAUGCCACCUAAGAAAAUAUGAAAUACUUCAGUCUGUCUGUCAGUGCUCACUUCCUGUCUAGAAACUUUCAGGCUCCGGCACAAAUGAACCAUGUUCUUCGCCUAAGUCAUUUAUGGAACAUCUGCUUUCGGUUUAGCAUCAGCUUUGUGACCUAGUAAUAUCUUUCUCGAGUGCAUGAAACAUCUCAGAAAUGCAAACAUCAAGGAAGAUACUAAUCCUUUCUUCCAGUUUCUGUGUGAGGGUUGGAGGCUGACUUUGGUGGUGAUCUUGCUCCAAAUUAUAGAACUACAUCCUGUCAUGAAGAGAAGUUUGUCUUCUCGAUAAAGCCAAGUAGCUAACAGAG